rnacentral:rRNA from 1 species
UACGUAGGGCGCAAGCGUUGUCCGGAAUUAUUGGGCGUAAAGAGCUCGUAGGUGGUUUGUUACGUCUGCUGUGAAAUCCUAGGGCUUAACCCUGGGCUUGCAGUGGAUACGGGCAGACUAGAGGUAGGUAGGGGAGAAUGGAAUUCCUGGUGUAGCGGUGAAAUGCGCAGAUAUCAGGAGGAACACCGGUGGUGUAGACGGCUUUCUGGACCGUAACUGACGCUGAGACACGAAAGCGUGGGUAGCAAACAGG